rnacentral:rRNA from 1 species
UACGUAGGUGGCAAGCGUUGUCCGGAUUUACUGGGCGUAAAGGGCGCGCAGGCGGUCUGUUAAGUGCAGGGUGAAAGCUCCCGGCUCAACUGGGAGAGGUCCUUGCAUACUGGCGGACUUGAGGGGGGUAGAGGAAAGUGGAAUUCCCGGUGUAGUGGUGAUAUGCGUAGAUAUCGGGAGGAACACCUGUGGCGAAGGCGGCUUUCUGGGCCCUACCUGACGCUGAGACGCGAAAGCGUGGGGAGCGAACCGG